GCGUAGGCAUCUUGAUGAACAGAGCCGAAUUCUGCUGGAAUCGUAUCGAACAAUGUCCCAUGAAUUGCAUAAUCUUCAAGUAGAAGAAGAAAUGCUUAUGCGCAAACUUUAUGAGCACAUGUUAGCGGAGGGUUUGAUCAAAAAG